rnacentral:rRNA from 1 species
CCCUGCGGCUACACCCCCCUGAAAGAGCCUGAUCUUGUCUGAUCUCAGAAGCCAUGCGGGGCCGACCCUGGUUAGUACCUGGAUGGGAGACCACCUGGGAAUACAAGGUGUUGUAGUCU